GAAGGAGGCACCCACUGUGCUUAUAGGGAUGCUGUGCUGCUACUGAUACAGCAGUGUGUGAUAGGAACACUGACUAGUUGGACCAACUUCAAGUCCCACCUGAAGCAGAAAAGGGCUGCGAACUGGAAUGCUUCGAGGGCAACAGGGGCAGGGCCAGCCCCUGAGACUGUGGAGUAUACAGAUCUAGAGGAACAAGCGAUGGUCUGUGUGUCCAAUGAAGAGAUGGCAGGUGUGUCACAAAUGGACACAGACACACCUGACAUGUUAUGGCCACAUGACUUGCCAGGACACAGCACAGGAGGGGCAUCUCAAUGAGUCACAGGAGGGGCAUCUUGCUGAGGCAGUGGAAGGUAGUGACACCUCCAGUGUGGGGCAGGAUAUACCACCAGCCCAGCCACACACUGGCACCCCCACCCAACCCUCUCUCCCGUGGAUUCUGGCUUAAAUCGCCGGGCAUGGAGUUAUUAACACAGAAUUCCAUGAAGUGAUGACCCGAGAGGUACGUGAAAUGUCCUUACAGCUCACUGAUCUGACCACCUGUGUUCAGCAAGGUGUGGGUGACCUCAGGCAAGGUAUGGCCGAACUCACCUCCUCAGUCCAACAAUUAAACACCACAGUUGGACAAGGACUUUAGGCCAUCACUGGCCUUCUUGCCCACAGUGUCAGUGAGGCUCCAACACCUGGACCAUCCCCUACCCCUGCCCAGGAACAAAUUUCCACUGGGCAGGGCCCUUGAAGGUCAGUUCGCAGACCAACCAGUGAACAUCCACUUCAGGCGGGCCGUAAAAAGAAGUAAUUUCUCUCCAGAUGCGUAAACAUUUCCCAGCACCCAUGUUUCUUCAGUUCCAAAAUGGAUUAUCUAUGGCUUGUGGGACCAGAAUGCCAAACUCCCUCAUGCUGAAUGGGAAUUUGCUGGGUUCUCUUUUUGGUAUUAGCCUGUGAUGCAUUAUCCUGUGAACUUGUCCUACCUUCCUCUUCAUAUACUGGUGUGGAUAUUUGGGUUCAGGCAGGACCAUGACACCAGUUUCUUUUUGUGUUUGAUGCCCAGUAGAUGGGGGGUCUCUGACUACUGGGUUCUGUCUUCCUAAUUUCUGCACUUGCAGGUGUUUGUUGCUAUGCCAUGUUUGAUGAUUUUUUACAUUUUGGAAAAAGUAAAAGUACUUUGAACAAAUAAACUUUGUGUGGAUAUUGGGGGUAAUUCCAAGUUGAUCGCAGCAGGAACUUUGUUAGCAGUUGGGCAAAACCAUGUGCACUGCAGGGGAGGCAGAUAUAACAUGUGCAGAGAGAGUUAGAUUUGGGUGUGGUGAGUUCAAUCUGCAAUCUAAAUUGCAGUGUAAAAAUAA